rnacentral:rRNA from 1 species
AUGAACGCUGGCGGCGUGCCUAAUACAUGCAAGUCGAGCGCACGGACGAGAAGCUUGCUUCUCUGAUGUUAGCGGCGGACGGGUGAGUAACACGUGGAUAACCUACCUAUAAGACUGGGAUAACUUCGGGAAACCGGAGCUAAUACCGGAUGAUAUUUUGAACCGCAUGGUUCAAAAGUGAAAGACGGUCUUGCUGUCACUUAUAGAUGGAUCCGCGCUGCAUUAGCUAGUUGGUAAGGUAACGGCUUACCAAGGCAACGAUGCAUAGCCGACCUGAGAGGGUGAUCGGCCACACUAGAACUGAGACACGGUCCAGACUCCUACGGGAGGCAGCAGUAGGGAAUCUUCCGCAAUGGGCGAAAGCCUGACGGAGCAACGCCGCGUGAGUGAUGAAGGUCUUCGGAUCGUAAAACUCUGUUAUUAGGGAAGAACAUAUGUGUAAGUAACUGUGCACAUCUUGACGGUACCUAAUCAGAAAGCCACGGCUAACUACGUG